AUAUGGCCCAUAAAAGACGCGGCGCGCUGUUCAAAAUUGAACUGGCAGCAAGGAGUCAACGCAGCCAACGCUAAAGGAAGAACCGGGAGACAUCCAACAGCAACGAGAACCAUGGACCGUGCCUGCAAGUGUGGAGACCCCAAGUGCGUUUGUACCACGCAGUGCAAGUGCGCAUCGGGAGGAUGCCCUUGCGACAAGUGCAAGAAGUAGGAACAUUCGAACACGCGGGGGCAAAAGGUUUCAAAACUUCACACAGAAGGUACCCGUUGCACAUCAAUAUUAAUGGAUGGCCGCACGAUCCGCAGAAAUUACACACGACUCAAAGACAAGAUGCCUAAAUUUGCGCGGACCUGGGGAUCUGGAUACGUGCGUAGAAGAAGCAGCUGAACUGGCAAGCAAUAAAUUAUUAUGAAAA